AUAAUGAUAUUUGUAUUAAAUUGGCUACAACACUCGCCAGCCAUCUCUCUAUCUUUCUCCUGCCAAAUAGAUACCGUCGUUCGCCGGCUACAACACCUCUCGACAAAAAAAAAAUAAGUACAUGAGAAGAAGAAGGUAGAAGACAGACUUUGAGUUUUGCUUUCCAACCGUACGUUCCUUACAAUUUUGGAACUAUUGGCGAUGAUCUAGAUGGAGGUAUCAAUUUGUUUAAGUAAUUUUCAUUUAAUUGUUUUAUUACUUUUUCUAUAUAUAUCUUCCAUUUGUCGCCGGAUCUAGAUUUCUUUCUCUCUCCAACAUCACGUUUCUUUUUUCUAAUUCAGCUUCUAUUUCUCUAUAUUCUUCCAUAAAGUUUCUAUUUCUUUAUUUGUCUUCCAAUAACAUCAGCAACAGUUGUUGGGUUUUUUUUAAUUCAGUUUCUCUUUCUCAAUUCAGUUGGCGCGAUAGGCGACAAUCGGCGGGGAGUCUGGCAAAGCAAGAAGAAAGAAAAGGGGGAAGAUUUUGGCAGACGAUGCAAGGGCCUCUAAUUUAUUUAGGGAAUCUUCUAAUUAAAUUUGGUUACAUUUCAUCUUAUGCCUUUUUUGUUCUGAAUUUUCAGUUUUGGGAUUUCCAAGCUCCAUUCAAGAAGUCAGUUGGGCCUCCAAGAAGAUCACCUCUAGAUGGUAAAUUUGAUUGCAACUUCACCUUUAUCACCUUUAUUUUUCUUCUUCUUUUUCUUGAUAUGCAUCCAUUAGUGCGCUUAACCUUUUUGUGUUGCUUGAUGGAAUAAGUUCUGUAUGUGUGGUUCUUUGCUAAUUGUGCACGNUCUCUUUACAUUUCUCUUCCUUCUUUCUCUACAAUAUUCAUGUCUCUUUCUCUUCUUAUUAACCACUGUGAUUUCUACCGCUGGCGGCGACAGCAGCAGCACCAUCGUGCUCUCCUUCCUCUCCUGCUUCAUCUGACAGCCGCGCUCAUCCAGAUCGCCGUCGUGUAGCCUCCGCCUCCAUCGACGAGCAACAGCAACCAUUGUGCCCCCGCCGCCGGCAAUGUCUCUAUCUUUCCCCGUGUGCUUGAUUUUAUCCUUAUUUGGUGAUUUUCAUUUAUAUGUUCAAUUUUACUUCAUUAAAUUCUUUAAUUUUCUCUGCUUCAUUUUUAUUGUGACUUGCUUUGUGAUUCAGGACUGCGGUUCUCAUUUUUGUCUGUGGGCUUCAUUUUCUUGCCCUUGAAUUCAAUUUGGCAGAUCUGAUUCUUGAACUAGGGCUUCGAUACAACACUAUAUUUUGUGAUUCAGGAGUGCGGUUCUCCAUUUGUGGUGUGUUUUUUUUAAUUUAUCAUACAACACUAUAUUUGUGUAUGUUGUCGAUAUGAAUUUGCUUGAUUUCUUAUAUUCAAUAGUUUAUGUCUUUUAGAAUUGAGUCAUGUAUAUGGUAUGAUGUAUAUAGCUUAUGUCUAUUUUCACCAACAAGCAUGUGUUUGUAGUGAGAAUUAUUGAUUUUUCUCUUAAAACUUUGGGGAUUUAGUGCAUGUGUUUAUACUGCAGAAUUGAUGUGUAUAUGGUAGGAUGUAUACAGCUUAGUCAUAUUAUUGUUAGUUCUUUCUUUCUCCUUGACUAUUUUAAUUUGAUUUGUUGAACCCAUAACUAUUACAUAUAUAGUGUUUAGAAAAUUCAUGUUUAUGAGGUUGCUGUCUGUUGGUUGUCUCGAUCAAUUUGGCACCGAUUUUACUCAUUAAAUUCUUCAAUUUUCUCUGCUUCAUUUUUAUUUUGAUUUGCUCUAUGAUUCAGGGCUUGGCAACCGGAGGUCCCUCAGCUGGCUGUUAACGAUGGUGGGGAGGGCUGAGCUGUAGUGGCGUUUGUAGCAUUUUCAUGUUCUGACAGGAUCGCGGAUGGCAAAAGGUACAAGUAGAUACAAAUUUGUUUAAAUAAUGAUAUUUGUAUUAAAUUGGCUACAACACUCGCCAGCCAUCUCUCUAUCUUUCUCCUGCCAAAUAGAUACCGUCGUUCGCCGGCUACAACACCUCUCGCAAAAAAAAAAAUUAAGCAUGAGAAGAAGAAGGUGAAGCGGACUUUGAGUUUUGCUUUCCAACCGAGUUCCUUACAAUUUUGGAACUAUUGGCGAUGAUCUAGAUGGAG
rnacentral:lncRNA from 1 species